rnacentral:tRNA from 1 species
GACGGUUUGGCCGAGUGGUCUAAGGCGCCAGAUUUAGGCAAUGGUCCGAAAGGGUGUGGGUUUAAAUCCCACAACCGUCA